UACGAAGGGUGCAAGCGUUACUCGGAAUUACUGGGCGUAAAGCGUGCGUAGGUGGUUUGUUAAGUCUGCUGUGAAAGCCCCGGGCUCAACCUGGGAAUGGCAGUGGAUACUGGCAAGCUAGAGUGCGGUAGAGGGUAGUGGAAUUCCCGGUGUAGCGGUGAAAUGCGUAGAGAUCGGGAGGAACACCAGCGGCGAAGGCGGCUACCUGGACCAGCACUGACACUCAGGCACGAAAGCGUGGGGAGCAAACAGG
rnacentral:rRNA from 1 species